rnacentral:rRNA from 1 species
UAAGACGAACCACCCAAACGUUAUUCGGAAUUACUGGGCUUAAAGGGUGCGUAGGCUGUGCGGAAAGUUGGGUGUGAAAUACCUCAGCUUAACUGAGGAACUGCGCUCAAAACUACCGUGCUCGAGGGAGACAGAGGUGAGCGGAACUUAGGGUGGAGCGGUGAAAUGCGUUGAUAUCCUAAGGAACACCGGUGGCGAAAGCGGCUCACUGGGUCUUUUCUGACGCUGAGGCACGAAAGCUAGGGUAGCGAACGGGAUUAGAUACCCCGGUAGUCCUAGCCGUAAACG